GUUUUCCUAGCUACCCUCUGGUCAGGGCAGUUUUGCUGCUGAAAUUGGAGAUUCCCAGCAUGGAAGGGUCCCUACUGAAUAUCUGGCUUAUUUUUCUCAGUGAGAAAACCAGGGUGCUGGCACUGGGGGAGAGGUCUGGAGGGUUCCCCCAGGUCACACAGCUAAGGAGAGGCCAGGCGGGGCUCCCCACCACCCAACAGGAGAGAAGUCGGAUAGGUCAGAGGCCUCUCCUGAAGAGGGGGAGGGCACUCUUUCUUCUGGAGACCCAGAAACUCAGCUCCUGUGGGCAAAAUCACAGUACUGGUGACAGAACACUACUAGCCUCAGGUCCAGUGCUAACUGGGCUACGUGCUUUGGUCUGUUUUCUCAUUUAAUCAUCAAAGCAACUUGUGAGGAAGUUGCUGCUCUGGACGUGACCCUGGACACUCCCCAGGCCUCUGUCUCUCGGUCUGUACAGAUGGAGUUUUGUGGAGGAUCCUCGGGCCCAGUCCUGCCCUGACCUCCUGGGAGUCCAUGAGGAGGGCCCCUGGCCUGGGAAUAAGCCCUGACGUGGACAGGCGCCGUUCCCCUUUUGUCUCCAUUUCCCUAGCUUGGGCCUCCUUUUGCAGGCUCUGGGUUUGGGUCCUUCGAAAGUGGGCGAAGGCAAGGUGGGCUCCCUCUUUUUAAAUCCCAGACAGACUAAGCUGGGGUCACUUUCCUUGUGGGACUUCUCUGCUCCCUCUCUUCCCCACCAAGUGUCUGGGAAGAGCUGCCAGACUUGGAUUUGGGGCAGGGAUGUGGGCCUCUCUGCUCCCAGUCGGCACUACCACCUGUCAGCCACCCUGGGCCCCUAGCCAUAGGGUGCCUGGAAUGGAAGCUUCUGGAAAGCCUCAAGGCCUGGCUGUGCCCAGCUCACUCUGAGCCCUCGGCAGGAACUCGGGCUGCUCCCAUCUUGGCCAGAAGGCUCUAUCUGCCUUGGACAUGAUCCAGGCCAGAGUAAAGGAGUUUUGUUCGUGAAGCAGAGACCAGAUGUAGGCACACAGAGGGCUCUUUGCUUUGCAGUUGAAGCUUUUAAAGAUUUGUUUUCUUUCAAAAUCCUGCUGCAGGAAAGAGAAGCACCAGAUCAAACAUUCCUGAAACAUGACUUUAAAGGGGCAAUUUGUUCAUUUCCGUCCCACCCUGUUUCUCCUCACUGGGGUCUUGGGCAGUUGUCCUUGGGUUUUGGUGGAGGGUCCACACCCCUCCAGGCUCCCCAAGAGGUUUCCUCAGCGCCAGAUCCAGCCUGAGGGCCUCUGGUCACAGCUAGGGCCAAGCUUGGUCCCAGGAGGGUCUGCACAUCCCCCUCAGCACGUGGAGGGACUUUUCCUCCGUCCUCAGCCCCACUGGCACUGUUAACCAUACCCCCUUUCUUGAAAACUCUCUUUCCUUGACCUCAGGUUGCAGACACGCUUCCGGCUCUCCUCCUGUCUAGGACUCCUCUUCUCCCCUCCUCCUGUGCCCAGGCCCCACCCUUGGGGCUUGUGCCCCCUUGGAGAACUCGCUCAUCCCCUUAUGGGGCCUGCCCACCCUCUGCCCCCAGGCCCCAGGUCCUCACAGCCUGAAUUUUCUUCCUGUUGCUUUACUAGGGUGUAAGUGACAAUCUUGUAAGACAUGGAAAGUAUACAGUGUGAGCUGUGCUGUAUGCAUGCACUGUGAAAGGCUCUCCCCCAUCCAGUUGGCCUUAAUGUUAUGUGAUUAAAUUAUUCCCUUGGCAUUUCCAAGUUCUACCACCGGACCUGUUUCCUCAUCUGUGAAAUAAGCAUGUGGAACCAAAAGAUCUGUAGCUCUUUCUAGCUCUGGCGUUACCUGAGAACAUCUGGGACGUGGGGGCUAUGGACAGUCUCACUGGCCUUGGGAGCUGCGCCCACCACCACUGUAGCCCCCUCUCCUGGAGGCCCCCACAGACAGGACAGCCUGACCAGCUGCCAUGCUCUGAUCUCAAAUUAGAAUCACACCUCACAUCUCUGUACACGCACUUUGAUCAUGAAAGGCCUCCUCCCCCCUCGGUGGCAGCCUGGUGACCUGGAGCAAAGGGGAUGAAGACAGCUGCUGCCUCCACAGCCGCCAUGGCCCUGAGGCCUCAGCAGGAAGUGAGGGAGCUGCCAGGCCUGGAGGUGACAUGCAUUGGCUACGUGUGCCCCAUGUGCCAGACAUCGUGUGAGUCAUUCUGUAGGUGUUAGCCCAUUCAUGCCGCUGAAGCGCCCUGGCUGGGAAGUGUGGUUAUCACUUUCAUCUUGUGGAGAAGGAGGUGACGCCCGGCAAGAUGUGCAGGGCCCUGCACGCAGCUGGCCUCCUGGUCACCCUGACUCCCCAGCAGUGGCAGACCCAGCACCUCUGGCAUCUUCCUGUGAAGGCUGGAACACUUGUUCUCAUAGGAAGCGGACUCUUGAGUGGGAGAGCAUUUGGGGUUCCCCCUCAGGCCUCUCUGGCUCCAGGGAUCUCCUCCUUCCUUCCACAGCUUCCCCAUUGGUCUGCUAGCUCUCUUUUUCCCCCAGCCUGCCCCUUGCUGGGGGCUGCCCCGGCGCCUCUCCCAACCACCAUGUACCUCCUUUCCUCUUCUUUAAAUUCCAAAGUAGGAUGGCAGGGAAAUUCUGUCCGUUCUUCCAUCUGGCCUCAGAUUUCAGGCAGCAGUUCAAGAUAAAUUCAAGGUGAUUUCUUAUCAAA